CCCUAGUAACGGCGAGUGAAGCGGGAACAGCUCAAAUUUGAAAUCUGGCCCUUGGGUCCGAGUUGUAAUUUGCAGAGGAUGCUUUUGGUGCGGUGCCUUCCGAGUUCCCUGGAACGGGACGCCUUAGAGGGUGAGAGCCCCGUACGGUUGGCCACCAAGCCUGUGUAAAGCUCCUUCGACGAGUCGAGUAGUUUGGGAAUGCUGCUCAAAAUGGGAGGUAUAUUUCUUCUAAAGCUAAAUACUGGCCAGAGACCGAUAGCGCACAAGUAGAGUGAUCGAAAGAUGAAAAGCACUUUGAAAAGAGGGUUAAAUAGCACGUGAAAUUGUUGAAAGGGAAGGAUUUAUGACCAGACUUUUUCUAGGGGGAUCAUCCGGUGUUCUCACCGGUGCACUUCCCCUAGUUGAGGCCAGCAUCGGUUUCUGUCGGGGGAUAAAAGCUUCGGGAAUGUGGCUCCCUCCGGGGAGUGUUAUAGCCCGUUGCAUAAUACCCUGACGGGGACCGAGGUUCGCGCAUUGCAAGGAUGCUGGCGUAAUGGUUAUUAAUCACCCGUCUUGAAACACGGACCAAGGAGUCGAACAUUUGUGCGAGUGUUUGGGUGUUAAACCCUCACGCGUAAUGAAAGUGAACGGAGGUGAGAGCCCUUCGGGGUGCAUCAUCGACCGAUCCUGAUGUCUUCGGAUGGAUUUGAGUAAGAGCAUAACUGUUCGGACCCGAAAGAUGGUGAACUAUGCGUGGAUAGGGUGAAGCCAGAGGAAACUCUGGUGGAGGCUCGCAGCGGUUCUGACGUGCAAAUCGAUCGUCAAAUCUGCGCAUGGGGGCGAAAGACUAAUCGAACCAU
rnacentral:rRNA from 1 species